GUCACUAUUUACACAAUGUUCAGAUGUAGAAUCUGUCUCUCUCUGUAGAAAAGCAGCAGAAAACCAAUCAGACAUCAGAUCAGAAUCAGAUCCGGUCAGGAGCUGAAGACUCUCAUUCAGGACACACACCACUUCAGGCUGAAAGUGCUAUCUAUGCCAAUGUGGAUGAUGUGACUAUCUAUGCCAAUGAGUUGUGCAGGAGUGGAAAAGAAAAGGCCAGUGUGACUGAUGAUACUGUCUACUCAGAGCUGAAGCACAACAUGGAGUGAGCCAUGUGUCUGUUCUGAUGAAGCUACAGUUAUCAAACAGAUAGAAGGAAAACCUAUAGAUAGAUAGAUAGAUAGAUAGAUAGAUAGAUAGAUAGAUAGAUAGAUAGAUAGAUAGAUAGAUAGAUAGAUAGAUAGAUAGAUUUUACACAUUAAUUUACACAUUAUAGCUGCAGAAAAAGAAUAAUAUAUGUUUAAUAUUAUAAGAAAUGAUCAAGAGGAAUAAAAUAUUCUAUAUUUGCUAUAUUGUCUAUAUAAUAUUAUAAAUUAAAAUAAUUGCAUACAUCAGUGCAAGUAGUAACAAGAGAUAUGUAGCAAGGUAGAUAUGACAAUAAGCCACAAUAAUCUGCAUCAGUGUAAUUAUAUAGUGAUUAGCAGCAGUGCAGUAAACAGAAUCCCACCAACAGAAGCCCAAUGCACUUAUUUAAGGAACAGACACAAUAACAUCCUGGUACAGUGAUGAACUAUUCUCCUGUACCGGUCCUUGCUGCAGCUGUUUGACCAAUAAGUCAUGGAGGGGAUGUGAUGCAUUGUCCAGGAUGGACAUUAGUUUGUUUAGUGUCUUCUUUUCCACGAUCAAAUCAAAACAGUUGAGGGAGCAUCCCAGUACAGAGCCAGUCUUCUUUAUCAGUGUGUUCAGCUUCCUUGCUUCUCCGGCUCUAAUGCUGCCUCCCCAGCAUAAUGCUGCAAAGAAGACAGCACUCACAACAUCAGACUGGUAGAAGAUCUCCAACAUCUUACUGCAAACAUUAAAGCAUCUGAUCUUCCUCAGAAAGUACAGUCUACUCAUCCCCUUCCUGUACACAGCAGUAGAGUCUACUCAUCCCCUUCCUGUACACAGCAGUAGAGUCUACUCAUCCCCUUCCUGUACACAGCAGUAGAGUCUACUCAUCCCCUUCCUGUACACAGCAGUAGAAUCUACUCAUCCCCUUCCUGUACACAGCAGUAGAGUCUACUCAUCCCCUUCCUGUACACAGCAGUAGAGUCUACUCAUCCACUUCCUGUACACAGCAGUAGAGUCUACUCAUCCACUUCCUGUACACAGCAGUAGAGUCUACUUCUUGUUGAUGUACAAAACUUCACUGAUGAACGAAUUAAGAUGAAAGUAAAGUUAACUGAGAUGAAGAAUUAUUUACUUUUAUUUGAUUCUGCUUUAUGCAGUCCUGGAUCAGUGAUGAUGUCAUAUGAUCUGUUGUUCUGCUUGUACACACACACACACUUGCUUUUUCAAAAUUUUAAUUGUUCAUAUUUUUGUCUUUACAAAUGACCUGAUGCUUUGUAACUCAUCUCACUGUGUUUAUAAAUGUCCUGAUAUGACUUUGUUUGUAGCUUAAAUAAUGUUUGUAUUAAAGUUUUAUGC